rnacentral:rRNA from 1 species
AGGGUUCGAUUCUGGCUCAGGAUGAACGCUAGCUACAGGCUUAACACAUGCAAGUCGAGGGGCAGCAUGACGAUAGCUUGCUAUGUUGAUGGCGACCGGCGCACGGGUGAGUAACGCGUAUCCAACCUUCCCCAUAGUAGGGCAUAGCCCGUAGAAAUGCGGAUUAAUACCCUAUGUUUUCCGAAGCAGACAUCUAAUUUGGAACAAAGGUUCACCGCUAUGGGAUGGGAAUGCGUCUGAUUAGGUUGUUGGCGGGGUAACGGCCCACCAAGCCAUCGAUCAGUAGGGGUUCUGAGAGGAAGGUCCCCCACAUUGGAACUGAGACACGGUCCAAACUCCUACGGGAGGCAGCAGUGAGGAAUAUUGGUCAAUGGGCGAGAGCCUGAACCAGCCGAGUAGCGUGCAGGAAGACGGCCCUAUGGGUUGUAAACUGCUUUUAUGCGGGGAUAAAGUUGGCUACGUGUAGCCAUUUGCAGGUACCGCGUGAAUAAGGACCGGCUAAUUCCGUGCCAGCAGCCGC